GAUGAAGAACGUAGCGAAAUGCGAUAAGUAAUGUGAAUUGCAGAAUUCAGUGAAUCAUCGAAUCUUUGAACGCACAUUGCGCCCGCCAGUAUUCUGGCGGGCAUGCCUGUUCGAGCGUCAUUACAACCCUCAGGCCCCCGGGCCUGGCGUUGGGGAUCGGCGGAAGCCCCCUGCGGGCACAACGCCGUCCCCCAAAUACAGUGGCGGUCCUGCCGCAGCUUCCAUUGCGUAGUAGCUAACACCUCGCAACUGGAGAGCGGCGCGGCCACGCCGUAAAACACCCAACUUCUGAAUGUUGACCUCGAAUCAGGUAGGAAUACCCGCUGAACUUAAGCAUAUCAAUAAGCGGAGGA
rnacentral:misc_RNA from 1 species